ACUGAGUCAAUAUUUAUGUGUAGUCAAACUCCAGCAAUCUCACUACGAGCAGCUGUAGCACCGCAGGUCAAAGGAUCAGUCACACCACUGCAGCAUCGAGAAAGUCACUAACGAGUGAGCAGACAUCUAUGUGACUUCUCAUGUUGGUCACGCUCAGUACUAAUUAUUCUCUAACAAUCACCUGCUCUCUCACUCCAGUGUCACUACACCGC
rnacentral:lncRNA from 1 species